GAGUUUGGAUUUUGUUGCAACUAAAUCUCAACCCUUAGACCUGCUACAGAUGCCUAGAAGAACUUGCUGGGAAGGAUUUGUUUUUCCGAUAUGUGUGACGUCAUACAAUUUCAUCCUUAACACCGUACUUUCACCGUUUCUGCAAUCAACGACAAUAUCAACCCCAAGAGUUGCAACACCAACAAAACUCCAUUUGUUGAAGGGGAUUGUGGCCAAACAUCUGCAUCUGCCUGCAACACGGUUGCAGCUGGAACCGAUGAACCUAAUCGUACCGGCGUUGAAGACAAAGAGUGUAGCCGCAAACGCCCCCGUGAAUGAAAGUUUCAUGGCUGUCAAACCAUAAGCUUUCGUCAGUUUACAAUUUCCUAAGUUGCUAUGCUUUUUCCUAUUUCGGACUUUGCUAUAUUUUCUCUAUUUCCAGCUUCAGUUUUUUUCAGCCAAUUUCGGCGAAACUCCCACGAGGAGAACUGUGUGUAAGAUUUUAUAUUAAAAAGACAAUGUUUACGGAAUUUUUCAUA